GGAAACUAGAAGUGUCUCAUUGCUUCUACAUGUGUUUGUCCAGGAUGAAGAAGCAGGUGUGAGUCUUGCCUGGUUGACAGCUUCCUCAGACCCCAGAGAACAAACGCAGCCCCCCUUGACAGAAUCCUGGAAAUCUGCAGAGUCCACACACACCAAUGGCUACUGCAGCCUUCAGUGAAUGCUACUGAGCACCUCAUGUGAGCUGUGAGCAGGGGAGACUGUGGUAAGAAACCGGGAACCCUGCCCCUGCUUGCUCCUGAUUCUUGCACACAUAAUUUCCUUGGUGCUCCCUGAGCUGUCACUGAUUUGGAGGGCUGGAUGCCUUUGGAACCCAACCCCAUGUCAGAAGCACAGGAGGCUGUGCUAAAUUCCUCACCCAAAGCUUUAACAUUUAUUGUAUGGCCUUAAUUUACCUGUCUUUCCACUUCUACCCAGGCUCCUUGAAACAGCAAC
rnacentral:lncRNA from 1 species